rfam:Neosartorya udagawae DNA, contig:Aud0037, strain: IFM 46973.
GGUAAGAUGACCGAGUGGUUAAGGUGGUGCACUCAAGCUGGUACUAGCUUCUUCUAGAAAACUAGAUUUGUCAUGCACUCUCGCAAGAGGCCUGGGUUCGACUCCCAGUCUUACCA